UGUCAUCGUACGAUAAGUCUGCAGAGAGGACGGAUUCCUGACCCCCUGAGAAAGGGCAGCGCUGCUGUCAUCACCUCUUUCCACUCUCGUUUGUCAGAAACGCAAUCUGACUGCAAAACAGUGAUCUGCACUGCCGAGAGACUUCAAGUGUCACGACUUCAUCUGUGGGCCUCCUCUAGUCCCAGGCAAGAUGGAUGUCAGUGUCGUUAAUGCUACCAGGGGUUCAGAUUUCUGCAACGGUACUCCGUUUGGUUUUCGAUCUGCAGUCCAAAGGAAAAAUGCAGCUGUCCUGGUCUGUAAACAAAUCCUAGUAGACGGUGUGGGGAAGUAUGUGUAGUGUGAAAUAGAGAGAUAAUGGGAAGGUUGUGUAAAGCAAGCUCCCUCUAUGGUAUGCCAGUAAUGCGUAAUGCCUGUUUACCCCCUAGCUGUUCCCCGCUCACUCAUGCGUGACCCUCUGCUCCUGAUUCCCCCUGGAGGGGUUUAGUAUGUGGAAUCCCUGUCGAUCCUCACGUCUGCUCCUCCGACCACCCAGUCCACUCCUGCAGCACAGGAUCCGAUUUCAGCUCCUCUAGAUAAGCCUAACCACGUCCGAGUAGCUUCAAACACACUCAGAUCUGGUCUGUGAUUGAGGCUGGCUCUCUGCACCAUGCAUUAGAGUCUCUAGAUAUCAGAUUACACUAUUACACUAUUACUGAAAGGGGCCUUCGGUGUACAAAUGGCUGGAUGCGGC
ensembl:lncRNA